CCUAUUGCAGCUCACAGAAGGAGCACCUAACUCACAUGAAGUCAAGGAAAGCUUCCUGGAAGAAGUGAUACUUCAAGCAAGUCUUAAGGAUGGAUGCCUCCCAGAGCCACCUGCACCCGUCAUGGUCAAUCCCACUGUGUUCUUUGAUGCCAUCAUCAACUUGGGCUGUGUCUUCUUUGAGCUGUUUGCAGACAAAGUUCCACAGACAGCAGAAAAUUUUGUACUUGAGAGCUGGCGAGAGAGGAUUUUGUUAUAUGGGUUCUUACUUUUACAGAAUUAUUCCAGGCCUUACGUGCUAGGGUGGUGACUUCAUGCCAUUAUGGCGUUGGUGACAAGCUUAUCUACAGAGAGAAAUUUGAUGAUGAGAAUCUCAUCCUGAAGCAUACAGGUCCUGGCGUGAUGUUCAUGGUAAAUGCAGGACUCAGCACAAACAAUUCCCAGUUUUUCAUCUGCACGGCCAAGACUGAGUGGUUACAUAGCAAGCCUGUUGUCUUUGGGAAGAUAAAAGAGGGCAUGAAUAUUGUGGAAACCAUGGAGCACUUUGGAUCCAGGAAUGGCAAGACCAGCAAGAAUAUCACCAUUGCCAAUUGUGGGAAAUGCUAGUAAAUUUGACUUGUUUUAUCUUAACCACCAGACCAUUUUUUCUGUAGCUCAGGAAAGCACCCUUCCACCCCAUUUACUUGCAAUAUCCUAUAAUCUUUGUGCUCUCACUGCAGUUCUUUGGGUUCUAUAUUUUUCCUAUCC
rnacentral:lncRNA from 1 species